UACGGGGGGGGCAAGCGUUGUUCGGAAUUACUGGGCGUAAAGGGCUCGUAGGCGGCCAACUAAGUCGGAUGUGAAAUCCCCAAGCUUAACUUGGGAACUGCAUCCGAUACUGGAUGGCUUGAGUUUGGGAGAGGGAUGCGGAAUUCCAGGUGUAGCGGUGAAAUGCGUAGAUAUCUGGAGGAACACCGGUGGCGAAGGCGGCAUCCUGGACCAACACUGACGCUGAGUGAGCGAAAGCCAGGGGAGCAAACGGG
rnacentral:rRNA from 1 species